CUUCCUCUCAGGUCAGCCGCUUGCCUCUUCCUGUACCCGCUUCCCUAUCUGAGCAGGACUACAAGGCCCACCUCUGCAGCAUUCUUGCCCAGGCCUGAUUCUCAAGCAAAGUCUUUUCUCCACAAAUAGAGCCUACUUCCCAGAAAUUUGGUGGCUGCCUCUGUGCUAUGAUUUGGUUGCUACCUGCUGAAGCUUCAACCUCUCAUCACUACCAGAAGGACCACAUCACUAAAAGUCCAUCAAUGGGGUUACUCACUUUGAUGGGCCUGUGCAGCGUCAUUCAGGAAGCCCGUGGUACUCACAUCACUCUGGCCAGACGCUAACAAGAAAAUGAUCCACUGUGACGCAGCCGACCCCAUCCAGUGCAUCCACAUUACCUGGAAAGAAGCAAUUAUGCCCCUUUGGUUUCCUUGGAAAUGCUUGGUCUGUCUCUACCAUCCGCCCUGGCUCUUGAGAAAUACUCAUGCACGGUAGAGCUUUGACAGGGAGACAGUGUGUUUAUUUUCCAACUGAAAGUUUACAGAAUACAAAGUGAGCCUGUAAGAUGGUGGCCACUCUCCAGAGGCUUGUUGGUCAGACAGGAAAGAAAACCAGUGCACCAUCGGGAACGUGGAGGAGGCUGAAAGAGAGGGACAAACAUAUUGGAUUGGAUUGGGCCCCCACAGUCAAGUUCCUGCAAACCAAGCUGGGAGAUUUUCCUGACUAAGGGUUAUGUUCUUGGGCCUCAAAGCUCCCCAGCCAACGCCCAGCUUCUGUGCCGAGGAGGAUACAGGAGGACAGACACAGCCUCUGUGUCAGGAGGAGGGAAGAAGGACUAAUGUCUGUGGACACUCUGAGGCUCACAGGGAGAAGCCACACACUCGCAGCACCAGGUCUGUGGUUUUUCAUGACCCUACACUGUCCCCUAGAAGGAAGUACCACCCAGCAGAAACAGAAGCCAAGGAAUUUCCCCAUAGAGAUCAUGGCAUGGGCUUGAGUUCAAGAACUCAAUGGACAGCGGGCAGAAAUUGGAAAGCCCAGAGCCUCCACCACUAACUCCUGUGUGACUUCUGUAAGUCCCUUGCCCUUAAUUCACCCAUAUGAAAAAUUAGGAAAAAUGAUCUCUCACUUCUGAAAUUCAAUAAUUCUAUGAUGUCAGCAACUGGACCCAAGAGAUGAUGAGUUCUGCUACAGUUGUCUUGAUGAAAGUAAAAGCUGACAUUUUUUUAAGCAGCUGCUUAGAGUUUACCACUUGAGAUUUCAUGUAAUCCUUACAACCACUCUAGAAGAUGAGUAAACAGAGGCUUGGAGGGGUGAUGAAAUUUGCCAACAGUCAUCAAUCGUUCCAGGAACAGGUGAUGCUUCCCGGCAGUGAGACUCGAAACCAGCGGGAGUUCCCAGCCAGAGACAUGAUCUAAGUGCCAAUGGCUGAAUGUCUGUGAGCAUUUCAAGUCAUUUUAAGAAUAGGCAACAUUAGCGGCACCAUUAAAGCCUGCUGUUCCUCCAGCCCAUCACUGCCAUCCCCACCUAUUAAAAUAAUGGCAUGAAAAAUAAACAGCCUUUAUGUACAAUUUUAUACAGUG
rnacentral:lncRNA from 1 species